CCUCUGCUGAACACGAGUGGAACCGCAUUGGUGCUGGUCCAGACUUACAAAGCUGCAGGGAAUGGGAAGCUCAUCUUUGUUACCGCCUCAUUGAUACUCCGUCCACGGGAUUUAAGUCUCAGCAUGAGUUCGAGUACACAGACUGCAGAAGAGAGCUGCAGUUUGAGAAUCUGACUGGGACUUCAAUAUCAGAUGUUACUUUUUAAACAAGUUUCAGUUGUGAAGAAGUGAGUCAUUCUAUAUCAAACACCUGCAUUAUAAAUGAGUUAACCUCACUACAUACCGGACGAGACCCCAUUCAUCUGCAUACAUUCAGCUGGAAUCAUUGGAUGUGAAAAAAACACAAUGCUCUCGAUCUCCCGAACCUGCCUCAGAGGAAUCUACAGCUGUCAUUGGAACGGUCAAACUAAAGACAGAAAUAGGCCUUGCUGCUGGCUCUCCUUU